UGCAUACCUCAUGUUUCUUUGUGUGACUAAAUUUCACUUCAUAUAAAGAUACCUGUCAGAUUGAAUUAGGAUGGCCUAAUUCAAGUUUAAUUUCAUCUCUUAAAAGGCCCUAUCUCCAAAUAUGGGCACCCUUUUGAAGUACCGAGGAUUAGAAUCUGGGAGGACAUGGUUCAGCCAUAGUACUGGAAGCACUGGAUCUCUAUUUCUGUUGCUCCUGCCCCCAACACUUCCUUCUGAGAGGAAUUUCGAUGCCAUCAUUUUGUGAAAACCAUUCUCAAGGAUAAUAACCAUACAUAUCAUAUGAGUGUCUUACCCUCAGUACCGAAAGGACAGUAGGUGAAUAUUCAAUGCUUGCCAAAGAAAUAAUAGGGAGAGGGCUGGGGGAGGGGAGGCAGGGCUACUCAACAGGAAGAUGCUUCUGGAAGAUGAAGACAUUGUUACACAAGGUGAACUUUUGUGCCAUGACAUUUCCAUUUCACCUUGAAGCGCCAAUCAGUGUAUCUCUUUUUAAAAUUCUAUAGCUGUGUUGGAACUGACAUAGCUAUAUCACAUUUUUUUUUCUUGCAAGUGCAAAUCAAACAAACAUCAACAUUGAAUAUAAUGACAAUUCGGAUAACUCUACUUUGGCACUUACUUUUGAAUAGGCCAUCAUUCGCACACACAUAAAUCAAGUUCUAAAACCUGCCUAAGGUCACCCAAGCAGUUCAAGUCCAUCUCAUAUUAGAAAAUGCCAGAAACUGUGAAUAGAACAAUUUGAUCAGUACAAGAUAUAUACUUGUGUAAGGUGUGCUAUGUUCUGUGACAUUUGAUUGCUAAGUAGUCCACUGCCUGCCAAAAAUUCACUGGCAUUCUCUAAAAUAAAAAGAUAUAAAUAUAAGUAGAGGCAUUUAUGAAUUGGGACUAAAAACUCCUUUCAGAAUGAAGAAGUUGUCCUGGGGCAAGGUGACAGUUGUUCUGUCCUUGGGCAAAGUGACAGUUUUUCUGUCAUCAAGCUGUUGGGUAAAGCAGGUAAGUGAAAAAGUGUAUACUUGGCUAUUUACAGGGACGGUUUGCUGUCCCAGUGAAUUUUUGAAUAGAAAGUAUGAAGAUGUACUUUUUUUCCCAACUGGACUCAUUGUGCAUGAUUUAAAUAUAUAUUUUUGUGGUUUUUUUCAGUUUUCUAAUUUUAACUGAGAGAUACAUUUUUAGCCUUACUGAAAGUGAUUUUACAGAUAGAUUUUUUCUAGGUUUUUCCCAUAACUCUACCACUUUGCUCACACUUACUACUGACAAUUUCUACCUGUUUCCUGACCUCAGUGUUUAAUGUGCUGACUCUGCACAUCCAUGUAAUUCAAGUCACCAGGCCCCUGCUCUUAUUCUUUUUUUGUGGUUUUUCUGGGGGAGAGGGGCUUCCAAAAAAGUAUUUCUUGCAAAAUAUUUCCAGCUUCCUAAAUCCUAACACAGGUCAUUGGCUUUUUUUGCCUUAUUCUUUUAGAUUUUAUCUCAUUCUUUGUUCCUUCUCCAUGCAUACACUAUUAGGAGGGAUAUUUUCCCAUGUACCCACCAAUUCUCAUUAUCAUCAAAAUAACAGUUUACAUUUUUUUGAUAUUUACUAUGUAUCAAGAACUACAUACAAGGUAUGGAUUAAUUCAUAUACUCGUCACAACCACCUUAUGAGGUCAUUGCUGUUGAUUGUUAUCACCUUUUACAGUUGAAGACUUUGAAGCACAGAGAGGUUAAUUAACUUGCUUAAGGAUCCAUAGCCAAUUUGUGGUAAAAUCAGGAUAAUGGAAUAUGAAUGGAAAUGAUGUAUAACUCCAGAGAAACUUCUCUAGCAAUCUCCCAUGUGUUUUUCUUUCUCAGUCUUUCUUUGGGUGAUGAAGAUUCAGAAUAAGAAUGCAUAGCCCAAGACUUGCAUUAACCUGUUAUAGGAGUGAGAUUUUGGGGACCAAGAGAUAUUAAAAAAAAAUAAAAUGCCUUUAGCUUCAUAGCAAAAGAGCAAAACAGCUUGUUUAGUACUCACCCAAGUAAAGACUCUAGAUUUGAAAUCAUAAACCUCUUUUAUGGCAAUUGUUUUUAUAAGAAGAAAAUCUGGAGGGCAGGCUAUUUUUUAAAGUAAAUAACCAUUUUCAGAAAUUCCUAGCCACAUUUUCCUUGGGUCAUAAUAAUAGACCAGUUCUCAAAGUAGACCUACUCUAAGGUCAUCUCAGGCAAACUCCUUUAAACACACAGAUGCCACUGAGUACUAGCAGCCUCCUCCUUUCAGAGGCACAAAGGAGGGGUCCAGAGGUGAUUAAGAGAGGAAGAGCUGGAACUGUUGCGAACUGAAUUAUCUGCAUACACUGGAUCAGUUAGAACCACAAAUGCAUUGAACCAUAAAGAAGAAAGAGGAAAGGCAGGGCAAACUGAGGUCAGAUGGUAAGUAUCACAUAUGUUUGGAUUUAACUUCUAACAAGGUCUCUUGGUACUUUCAUUGCUAUACAAACUGUUUUAUAAAUUUAUUUAAUUUUCAAAAAUUUAUGUAUCACACCUAUGCAGUUUUACACAAAUGCCUAAAUGUGAUCCUUACAUAUCCUUUCAUUUUUUUCUUUUCUGAGUGACAGAACUUUUCUUUCCCUCUUUGACCCCAUUAUUUCUAUCCUACCCAAACUCUUAUCCUUCCAUUUUUCUUCAUGAUUUAAAAAUAAUAUGCAAAUACACACAUUCAUAUACAUAGAUGAAUAUAAUUAUAUGCACAUAUGACAACUUUGCAUAUAAACUCAUAUAUAUACCUAUUAUGCAUACAUAGUCAAAUAUAUGCACACAUAUACAUCUAUAAAUACAUGCAUGUGCAUUUUAUGUAUUUAUAGAUGUAUAUAUGUAUAUCCCUUCCUCUCCACAAAGUCUGCCCCUUAGGUCAUCAGUACUAAUUCCAUCACUCUCAUCCCUAUUUAAGGGGUAGCCCCACGUAACCUAAGAUCCCAGGUUUAUCUCAGUCUCUCAGCUCCACAAAACUUUAUGUAUUCUCUGCAAUUCUGUCCUCCCUCUUCCCCUGUGCUUUCUUGAACUUAAGGCUCAUCAUCAACAAAGUCCACUCUCUUUACGUCUUCUUCUUUGAUUCUUUCCUUCACCUAUAUAUUAGUUUGCUAUGGCUGCUGUAACAACCUAUUACAAACUCAGUGACUUAAAACAACAGAAAUUUACUCUCCUAAUCCUUAAGCCCAGAAAUCAAUACCACUGGGCUGAAAUUACAAGUGUUAGCAGGGCUGUGUUCCUGCAGAGGCUCUAGGGGAGAAUCUAUUCCUUACCUCUUACAGCUCCUGAUGGCUGCUGGCAUUCCUUGGCCUGUCCCCUCACUCCAAAUUUCAAAGGAAGCGUCUUCAUAUCUCUCUGAUCCCCUCCAUGCCACCUUCUCUGGGCACUUCCUCUUCUCUCCAUGUUGAAUCUCCCUCUGCCUCACUCUUAUGAGGAUACACGUGAUUGCACUUAGGUCCCAUGUGAAUAAGCCAGGAUCUUCUCCCCACCUUAAAAUCUUAACGUAAUCACAUUUAUAGAGACCUUUUUUCCAAAUUAGGUAAUACUUACAGGUUCCAGAAAUUAGGAACUGAUCCCUUUGGAGCCUAUUAUUCAGCCAGCCACAGUCAGCUUGCUCCAUCUCAAACCUGACUCUCCCCUAAGGAAACUGCUUCUUCUGCAGCACCUCAAAGAUGGCUGGGUUUUGGGUUUUUUUAAUCUCCCACAGCCCAGAAGUAAGGUAUCCUCCUUGUUCCUCAUCAACAAAAAAUGCUAACCUGGGGAGUCCCCAGCAGAAAUGAACCUGAUUAGCAUCCAUGAGGAAGUGGGUUCCAUCCCUGGCCUUACUCAGUGGGUUAAGGAUCUGUGUUGCCGUGAGAUGUGGCUAAGUCACAGACACGACUCAGAUCCAGUGUUGCUAUGGCUGUGGUGUAGCCCAGCAGCUGUAGCUCCAAUUUGAUCCCUAGCCUGGGACCUUCCAUAUGCACCAGGUGCGGCCCUUAAAAAAAAAAGGAAAAGAAAUGCCAACCUGAGAGCUCAUUCUGUCAUAAUAAACCAUCCAUUCCCCUUUGUUUAGCUGUCAUCUCCAGACCCUCAAGCUUCUCCUGAAAAUUUUAUCAUACAACCAGUUCUCACACCUCCCACGUGAUAUCUAUACCCACAUAUAUGAGUUUGUUUCUCAGUCUUUUAACCUCCUCUCUUCCAAUGAUCUUAAAACUUCAUUCCAGCUCAAUUUUUCAGUCCCAUGUUUAUCUACUAGAUCUUGUCAAUAAUUAAGAACUAUUUCCCCUUCACUAUCUUGAAUUUUAAGCACUGCACUCUCUGGCCAUUUAGUCCUGUCUUUUCAGUUCAUUCUCUUUAAUACUCAAACUCCAAAAAAGCUUUGAUCGCUCUGGGACCUAACUUGAUCCUGUGGCCUUUCAUUAUCCAUCAUCCUUUUAUGUUAUAGUCCCCUCCCUAUAGGGCCAAUCUUUGUGUCACCCUACCCUGUUUAUAUGCAACACUGCCUAAUCCAGAUAUGUACGUGGGUUGCUGAAUGUGGCUGGAGAAGGCUGUGCUCACCUUAAAUGCAUAACCUCAAUGAGAACAUUAGUGUUGACAGGAAAUCCUACUGCAUUUCUGUACUCAGUCACUCUACUGUUCUUUUGCAUGAUCAUUCCUUACUUUUUCCUCUUUCAAACUUGCAAUAUUUCUGCCAUCUUCACCCUCAGCUGAUACCUUGCAUCUGUAAAAUACAAGGAAUUAGAGGACACCUUCCACAAACCCAUAUCUCUACAUCUGCCAACACCCAGCACUGUACUAUAUAUUCUGUGGUCCUUUUUGUUAAUGAUACAGAAACUGUUAACACACCUUUCAAGACCAUUUUCUCUAUCUGUGUAGUAAAACCCAUUUCCACUUAGUUACCUUAUAGUAUCAUUGAGCAAUUAUCUCCUCAUCACAAUUCUCCUCUACCAGAUUGUUUUCAUUAACAUACAACCAUUCUGAAAUAUCUACCGUCUUAAAAUUUGAAACAAAAUAAAAUACCCCCUUCCAUCUGUGUUACUACAUCAUCUUCUCAAAUCAAAACUCUCUUGCAAGAUUUGACUGUAGUUGUCUCAUUUCUCAUUUUUCAUUCUGUCUUGAACUUUCUUUGAUCACAUUUCCAUCCUCACUACAAUAUAAAAGAUUCUUGAAAAGACGACAAAUGCAAAAAUGAUUCCCAUGUUGGUAAAGUCAAUGGCUUCAUUCUACUCUAUCCAGCAAUCACUGUUGCCACUCCUCUUCUUGAACCACUUUCUUUAUCUGGCUUCCUGGAAUCUGCUCUCUUGUUUUUCUUCCUACUGCACUUACUCAUCAUUCUUCCUCAGUCACUGUGGCUGGCUUCCCCCUAACCCCUAAGGUUUGGCCUCUGUCUGUUGGUCACUAUUCUAUACCCAAUGCAGAAAAUCAAAUACAAUGAAUAAAUAUAUAGAACAUUCUUUGUUUUGUACUAUUAAAAUAAGGCCAUAUUAUUCAAAAUUUUCCACAUAUUGUUACUUUAAUGCAAAAACACUUCAUGAAAAUAUCUCUAAGUCAAUUGCUAUAAAUCCAUUUUUCUUAAUGUCUGGAUUAUAUUCUGUGGAGUAGAAAUGUAAUAAUUUAUUAAGUCAUUCCCAUAUUAUGGACAUUUCUUUGUAUGCAUUCCCUUAUAUUUUGUUGCCUCAACCUUAAAAUGAGAAUAAUAAUAUUUCUUUAAAAAAAGUUUUUUCUGCUAUGCCUGCAGCAUGUGGAAGUUCCCAGGCCAGGGAUGAACCCACACCAGAGCCGUGACCCAAACUGCUGCAGUGACAAUGCCAGAUCCUUAACUCACUGUGCCAGAAGUGAACUCCAAUAAUAUUUCUUAUCUCACUGGAUGGUUUGAAGAUUAAAUAAAUUACAAUAACAUAUAAGAAUGCCUAGCACAGAGUAUGAUUUGACACGUAUUACCUGUGUUCUUAAUGAUAGUAGUAAAUAUUUGUUAAGUUUAGUUUCACCCUGAUACCAAAACCAAAGAUACUACCAAAAAAGACAACUGCAGGUCAAUAUCACUGAUGAAUAUGGAUGAAAAAAUCCCCAACAAAAUAUUAUCAAACUGAUUCCAACAACACAUAAAAAGGAUCAUAAACCAUAGUCAAGUCGAAUUCAUCCAGUGUCACAAGGAUGGUUCAACAUAUGCCAAUCAAUCAAUAUGAUAUAUCACAUCAACAAAAGACAAAAACCACAUGAUCAUCUUAAUAGAUACAGAAAAGCAUUUGAUAAAAUUCAACAUCCAUUCAUGAUAAAAACUCUCACCAAAGUAGGUAUAGAGGGAACAUAUCUCAACAUAAUAAAAGCCAUUAUGACAAAUCCACAUGAUGCUUGACAUAGUGUCCGUGAGAAUGCAGAUUGAUCCCUGGCCUUGCUCUAUGGGUUGAGGAUCCAGCAUUGCUGCAAGCUGUGGCACUGGUUGCAGAUGUGGCUUAUGUUUGGUGUUGAUGCAGCUUAUGUCUGGUGUUACUGUGGCUCUGGUAUAGGCUGACAGCUGCAGCUCAGACAGCUCAGAUCAAUUCAACCCUUAGCCCAGGAACUUCUGUAUGCCAUGCAUGUGGAC
rnacentral:lncRNA from 1 species